UUCUGGAUGCUGCAAAACAUGCUCCCUUCCUCCUCAUCCCCUGGAGUCUUGUUAAUAUAAGUCCAUGCCACGGCUAUCCAGCAAACAUGAAGCGAACCUCCCACCCCACACUGUAUUGGUUCCAGUUUAUUGCCUCCUGUUGGCUGAGUUCCCACUCAGCAAGCUCUGUGAAGUCAGCUCAACUCCAACUAACAGCUUCAUCAAAUUGUUUGGAUUCUGGGGACAUGCAGGUCUGCCUUCUCAUGGUGAACAGGCAUCAGGAUCACAGGGUGAAAUGCUAAAAUGCAAGUUCAACAAGCCCUGUGAGAAGGAGACUAGAGAAACAUGGAAAAACAUUCAAGACUCUGUGAAGACUAUCUUCAAGCAUCUUGCUCCUUUGAACAGUGGAGCUGUCAUAUAUAUAGCCCCUGCCUGAUACUUAGAGCACAAAACCCAGCAGGGAGAGGGGUAAUGGAAUUUGGAGGCAACUGGUGUUCAAAGACCUCGCUUGAAAUGGGCCUAUGCUAAUGCUGAGGGUCUGUGCAAAUUGGGUCGACUUCCCGCAUAUUCCUAAAGGAGCAGCUUCAUCAGGUUAGCCUGCAUGGUACAGAGAUGUCUCUUUAAGUAUUUCAUAGAGCUUCACCUCACAGUAUUGUCCAAAUCCUCAAAGAGAUUCUGGCUCUAACUGCCCAGCCCGUGGCCAGAGCAGGAUACAUUCAUCCACAGAGCAUCACCCGCGCGUGUGUGGUCUCUGAGCCACGGGGAGAGCACGUUCAUCCCAAUGUAACUGAGUUUAAUUGCCACCUCCUGACUCUUUUCAAAAAAGGAAUCUGUGUUUAAAGGCUCAGAGCCUUUUCCUUGAACUUUCUUGCUCCAAACUGAGCUGGCAUAACUCCCUUGUCCUUGACAGAAUUACGUUGGCCAGCUAUCGGUCAG